rnacentral:rRNA from 1 species
AGAACGAACGCUGGCGGCGUGCUUAACACAUGCAAGUCCAACGUGAAAGGGGAGCAAUCCCCCGGUAGGGUGGCGAACGGGUGAGUAAUACAUGGGAAUCUGUCCUGGAGAUGGGGGAUAUCCUUCCGAAAGGAGGGUUAAUACCGAAUACGACCGAGAGGUGAAAGCGGGGGACCGAAAGGCCUCGCGCAGCAGGAUGAGCCGAUGUCCGAUUAGCUGGUUGGUGGGGUAACGGCCCACCAAGGCGACGAUCGGUAGCUGGUCUGAGAGGAUGAUCAGCCACACUGGGACUGAGACACGGCCCAGACUCCUACGGGAGGCAGC